UUCCCAUCAAUUGUCAAAUAUAGUAAAACAUUCUCGCACCAGAAAUUAGAAACUCACAAGGCACAACCGCACUUCCCUCCAUCGCCGACCACCGCUGCAAACCUUGCCAUCGCCAACAACCGUCCAUCAUUCAAGCUGCAUCGUUGUUCCUAUUUUCGUCCUCCGCCUCAGAUCCGCGUUGCUGUCUUUGUUUCUUUGUUCGUCUCAGAUCUAUGUCGCUACGGUGGAACCAGCUUCACUUUCAUCUUCAAAAGCAUCGUCAAUGGCGGCAAGAAAGUUCGACGCGGAGGUUGAGGGCUUCUUGACCGGAUGCUUGCUCGUUGGGCCUCUGCGAAAUUCUAAGCUUGAGCUCGUGCUCUCCAAUUCUGGCGCUGUUCGCGAAAAGGCGUCGUCGUCCGGUGCUAGGAUCGUUAUGCCUCCCGUCUUGGCUGUUAUGAGCUGCGAGUUGAUGUUGUUCAUUAUCUCUGUUGUUUUCAUCAGACGGAUUUGGACGUUGAAUAUCUUCGCCUUCUUCAGAAUCUUUAUGAUGUCAUCUGGUGUUGCAUCUAAUGAAUCUGGUGACUGUGGCAGUGUUGGCACUAAUGGCUUUGGUGACGGUGCUUUUUUUGUAGUUGCCUUUGGUGGUGAUGCUGUUGCUUUUUGUGCUGGUUUUGGGGACGCUGCAGGUGUUUGUGAAAAUGCCUGAAUGAUGGUGUAGCACAACACUAGCAAGACAAGCCAUUCAAAGACAUGAUUGAAGGAAUGAGAAUGGAUCUUCCAAAGUCUCGAUACAAGAACUUUGACAAACUAUAUCUCUACUAUUAUUAUGUUUGCAGGCACAGUCGGUUUAAUGAGUGCUUUAAUCGGUUCCGUUAUUUAGAAAUGUUGCUAUAUUCCUUACUCAUAAUUCGCUGCUUACAUAUUGAUUUUGACAUAGUAGUUUUAACAAGGAGAGCAGACUAGGAAAGGUGGGAGAAGGAUCAAAUAGAAUAGGAGAUAAUACUAUGAACUCUUUCUCAAUAUAUCAGUCUUUAGCAUUUUGACUAUUUAAUGUGAAUAUUUUUUAGCUUAUAUUUCUAAUUGGUGUCACGAUUUUAGAAAAGAUUGCUGCACCGGUAGCUUCUUGGUGGAUGGAUGUGUUUUCCUUAUUCUUCAAUUACAACUUUAGAUGAAUUGUGACAACUUUGAAUUCCUUAUCUUCCAGGGUAUGGCUCAAUAAUGAUUUAGUUGUUGCAUACCCUGAUAUUUAUCAAGUAGCUCUUGGCUCAGAUGCAGAGUUUAUAGUAUUAGGAUCAGAUGGCUUAUGAGAUUAUAUGAGCAGGUCUAUUGCAUGAUACAUAGACUCAUUUUUCUACCAUUUUUCUUUCUUGGUAGAUCAAAAAAUUACCUUCACAUUCUUGCUGCAUUGCAGCUCAGAUGCAGUUUCCUUUGUGUUUUUAACUUGAAGAGAUCUACACACGAAUAAUCACUUAAAUAUCACUGACUGACUAAUGUAUUAAGAACUGCUUAGAUGAGUACAAUUUGAGUGACUUUAUAUUUAAAGAUUUACUAAUUGUUUCUUUUAUUUGAAUUUGGCAAGUGUGUUUAAUAGGUUCCAACAAGUUAUUGCACAUUGGUCAUGACAGAGAGAGAGUGUGAUUAAUAGUGAAAGAUGGUGUUUGUUGUUAGUACAAUAUUAUUAAAGGGUGAAAACAGAGGAAGCUGCAGUGUUAAGCUCAGUCCUCAGGUUUAUAAUGUUGAGUUUGCAAUUCUUCAAAUUUGAGAGCAGAUGAUAAGAGCUGUGAGGAUUUGGAGCUAUAGUCAUACAAAGUUUAACAACUAUGCUUGUAUUUGUGUGGUAGCUACCUCUAUCAUCUCUGCUAUAUUUGGCUAUGAGAAUGGACCAAUGGCAAUUGAUUCUCGUAGGCACCCAAUUCUAGAGAACAUACACAAUGACUUCGUUGCAUGCCAAUAACAUAUUUUUUUCUGAAGCCUCAAAUAUGGCGAUAGUGACGGGACCCAACAUGUAAGAGAAUUUCUUCUAAUAAUUUAAAAUUCAGUAUAUUAAAAUUACAAGUGCAUUUAACUGGCAGAGAAAAUUAUUGAAUGAUUUUGGUAGAAAUAAGGAAUGUUGUAAACAGACCCUAAAUCUCCCAAAUGCAUUAAUGGGCAAAGGAAGCACUCAUGGUGCAAAAUGAUUUUAUUUAGAAACACCUCAGAUAUGAGUUCAUCGGUUUGAAAUAUGAAAGUUGACUACUUGACUUUUUCUUCUAUCAAUGUCUGGCAUAAGUUCCUUAAAUUAUUUUGUUCCUUACCAACACUUUAAAGGUGAAAUACUGGUGACGUUGCAAAGUUUAUUUUUUUUGUGCUUAUAAGGUCAAUAUCUUUUGCCAUUGCAAAGAUAUUCACUUGAAAUAACAUGACAUCUAUUGUAGCUUUUUGGCAUUAAGAAUUUGUUAAGGCAUUAAGAAUUUGUUAAAAAUAACUCAAUUUAUUUUUGGCAUUAUGAAUUUGUUAAGCAUAUUUUUAAUGGGGCUAUUGAGAUCUUUCCGAAACUAUCAGUUUGUAAGAUAAGAUAUGCAUCUGCUUAAGUUAUGUUAUUCAAAGCUUUCUAUUUACAAAUUCCUUUGAGCUUUUUUCUCCAUUGUCUCUGUUAACUUUAUGAUGUCAUGAGGAGAGAAACCUUCAAACUUAUCGGAAGUGUGGUCUAAGGAAUUGGAACUCUAUUCAACUAAAAUUCAGCAAUGAUCAGCAAAAAUCAGCCAAGGUUUCUAAGUUGGUUAAUUGUCAUUAGUAUUGCAAAGAUCAGCUAGUUCCAUGGAGGUGGAUGAACUUGUUUGCCUCAAGAUGAUGCUUUAAGUUUUGCAGAGACACGUCAAAUGCUAGAGAACAGUUUUGAAAUGCUUCCUCCUGAAUGGACCGACCAGUUUGAUUCUGGCAUUCAGCUCACUCCUGCAGGAAGCUCAUUUUGAGAUAGAAGGGGAGAUAGCAACCAUGCAGGAAGCUCAUUUUGAGUUUAUAGACUUGUAGUAUUUUUUGUUGUUUAGAUUUGUAACAUAAUUUAUUACUUUUCAAGAGAAAUUUGUGUAUUAAUAUUUUGAAUUUAAUGAAAUAUCUCAUUUUGUAGUAA